GUGUUAACUUGAAGAAAGGAAUGGAGAAGCUAAAGGUGUUAAGUUGAGAUGGAGCUUGUGCAAAGAUAGGGCAAGAACUUUAGAGAGUGCCUAUCAAGAGUGGUGAAGUGUCUUAAGAGAGCUAGAGGUGAUCUGAUGGUUGUUCUAAGCAAGGACAAAGUCUAGGAGAGACUUAGAAGAGUAUUGAGGAGCAAAUGGACGAGUGUACAAAGAUAGGGCGAGGCUGGUACAGCCAUGUACGGCCUAGUAUGAAUCAGUACGGAUGGUGGACGUACCAAAGGUGUAUACUCGGCCAUUUGUGAGUCUUAAGGUUUGGUGCAAACUUAGGGUGCUUGUGUACGGACAUUGAGUGAUCCGUACAUACUCUAAGGAUUGUGAUCAGCAUAACUUGAGUCCCAAGUAAGAAGAAUGGCGUUGGCUGAUUGUGUGAAGAAGCCAAGAGGCGCCAAAGUAAGAGUUUGAAUGUUGGGACCAGUUAUGGAUAAGGCACAGCAAGAACCAGCUGGCGUGAGCUGUCCCUUGGCUGUGUAUUGACCAAGAACCUGGACACAAGGGAGACUAGGUUCAUGGGCGCCUAAGAUGAUCCAAUCAGAGGCCAGCCCUCCCUUUGACCAGAUUCAAAUCAACCAAUCAAGCAACAUCAGCCCUCAGCCAAUCACAAGACAUCACACAGAUUGCAAUACCAAGCUUACAUCCUAGCCAUCCAUUCUCUCAAGUUAAUAUUAUCCAUUAGAUUUAGGUUUCAGAUUGUGUAAACCUAUUGAGCUUAUAAAUAAGCAUGUAAGGGGCGAUUUUGAGCCUUAAGGGAGUUUGGGGGAUUUCCCCUCUCCACUUCAUAAUAAAAGUGUGUUCUUGAUCAGAUUCCCUUAAUCUACCCCUUUCUUAGUCUCAAGUCUCUUAAUCUCUCAAAGUCUCCUUGUUUCUGAUUCAAGUUCAUACUAGUUUCAUCAGACCUCUUAUACAACUAGUUCAAGACCUUAUCUUUGCCUUUAAUGGCUUUUCAUACACAUACACAGCCAGAGCUCUCAAAAACUCACAUGGUAUCAGAGCCAGGUUGCUAAGAAUCUGGUUGAAGCUUCCGCAAAUCCCACACACACAUCCCUCAGCUCAAAUCCAAGCCAUGAAGAAGACAGCUCCAUCCGGUUCAGCUUCUCCAUGAAGACUGAAGCUUGGCGUGUCAUUCUGGUUCCUCAACCCUUUCUCAUACCUGCCUAGAUGAAGAGCCACGUUGGAAGCAAAGGAGGAUGGAGAGGCGUCAUGAACCUCAAGCCAAAACUCCUUGUCCAUGAGCUGCUAGCAUCCGGCUACAAGAAGAGAAGAUGUCAUGAAGAUGGCGACUUGAUGUAUGAAGAAAGGAGGGGUGUUUGAGCUGUAGAAACAAGAAGGGGGCCAUGAGUAGAAGGAGGAGAGGCUGGGUGACGAUCCAUACUCUCAUGUCCAACAAAACCGUGAGCCAAAAGCCAUUGGAGGUUCAAGGAACCAAACCGGUUCCUUGGCUGUAAGCUAAUACUAUCCCUUCUUGAUAAUGAGCUUGUGUUGUGACUGUGCCUGGUUAUUGUGAUGUGUAUUGAUUAAAAAACCUGAGGAUAAUGUGUGAUUGCUAAAUAAAAUUAGUUGAAUCUGUCCCAGGAUGCUUUAAAGGCUUGUUUAGUGUUUAAAGAGUAAAAUGCUUGCUCCUGUUAAGUAAUGAGUUUGCUAAAUGAAAUGGUAUUGUUUGAAGCUCAUGAACUGAAAACAGAUUGAAAGUAAUGCAUUGUCUGAUGAUAAGUGAUGAUAGUAAUGCUUAGCCUAAGUUAUAAAUGAAUGUGUGAUGGAUUGUAUUGUUGCAUUCAUGAAUUGAAACUGAUUAAAGGUUAGUGCAUACUGUCAAAAGGCUGUCUUACAUUGAAGCAUUAGAUUCAUGUCUAAAUGCUGAGUAAAGAAGCUUUAAAAAUUGCCUAAGUAGCUUGUAUUGAAUCUGUUAUGAUCUUACUUGUGCUUAGAGAGUUUGCUUGCAAAGAUUAGAACUUGAAAAUGUCUAGUUUAAUCUGUUGCAUUGCUUAAAGACAUUGGUGUUCAAACUUGAUGAUGCAUCAAGGGUUGACCCAAUGCACUUGUGUCUUAUCUUUGCUGGAGUUUGAGUGAUGUUUCAGGUUCACAAGAGGUGUUCUUGGUUCACCAUCCAUCCGAGUUGAAAGAGGAAGACUUUGCCCAUUGUGUGGAGCAAUGGAGAGUUAAGAAAGAAGUGGUGAUGCGCCACUGGUGUGUAGUGUCACUGAAGCUCACUUGCAAGCUUGGACCUAUACUCAAUCCAAGCUUGAGGAGGGGAGUUUAGUGAGCUAUCAGUCGGACCAAGAAGGUUCAGAAGGUCCAUUGCAAGCAACUGAAGAAGAAGGAGCCAUCCGGGUCUAGGCAGUGGCGUGUCUAGGCAAGAGAGUGUUCAGAGCACUCUUGGCUGUGAGAAGAUGAAGACUCUAUCAGUGCAGCUUCUAGUGUGAGGUGGCUGAAGAGGUAGCUGAAGUUUCCACAAGCACUCCAUGAAGAUGGCGAGUUCAGAAGGUGUUGCAAUGGUGUGAUUGGGCGGAUCAAGAAGCUAUCCUUCCAAGCUUGACUUGUUCCACAUGGCCAAGCUUGAGGGGGAGUGUUGAGAAAGCUUCUAUGAUCCUAGAGUCUUUGGUGGUUAUUCAAGAAGAGGAGCAGAUCAGUUAUGAAGCAUAAUGAAGGAUGAAGAAGCAAUCACCAAUGCGGCCUCUAGAGUGAGGUGAUUGGUACUACAGUCUGAAGCAUCCUGUCAUGAAGGUUUCAGUAACAUGGUGGUGACUCAUGAAGAAGAAGCAGCCAAGACUCAGCUUGUAUCUAUCAAGGAAGAUCUGGUAGUCCGAGCACUUGAUCACAACAAGAAGGUUGUGAGAAAGGGGGAGAGACCAAGAUCUGUCUAAAGAAGAGUACAAGAAGUGUUGAUGAUGAGCAAGAGGAGUGGGUUCUAUCUUGCAUCACAUGAGGGCCAUGAUCCAGAGUCUUUGUGUCCCUUACAUUGUUGGUAAGGCACAAAGACUCACUGGCCAAUCCCUAGGCCUUGGAGACUUUACUCUUUUUCCCUCAUCAAGGUUUUGUCCCAAAGGGUUUUCCUUGGUGAGGUUUUUAAUGAGGAAGCUCUUCAAGGUUCCAAGCUUGACUUAGGAUCUACUAAAGUCAAGCUUGAGGGGGAGUUUUGAACUGAAGAGAAGAAUGGAGCUUGUGCAUAAAUAGGGCAAGCUUCAGGUGAUCUCCGGAAGAGUUCUACAAAGCUUCAGGAGAGUCUUGAAGUAUCUAUCAUGGGUGAAGUUAAGUCCAAGAAGGGCUUAGACUGAUCUUAAGAAGACAUGGAAGGAGUUUGGAGGUGAAUGGUUGAGUGUGCAAACUUAGGGCGAGGCCGUACGGAUUUGGUACGGACGUGUACGGACAGUACGGAUCCGUACGGACCUUUCCGACCCAAAAGUUCAUGACUCGACCAUUUGAGCACAUUUGAAGUUGGUGCAAAAAUAGGGCAUAGGUCAGCUCUUAAGAGAAGAAGACAAAACUCUUAAGAGAAGAAGACAAAGGAGAGGCUGGCACUUGUGACUGUUUGUGGAUAAGGGAGUGGUGCCUGAACGUGAGUGGCUGUUAUGAGUCCAAGGACAGGCUGUAAAGAUCUGUAAAGGAAGAGCAAGGCUUGACCAUGUAUCUGGCCAAAGAAGAGGGCGGAUACAUGAGGCUGUGUAGAGCAUUCCUAGCCAAGCCUUCCCACAUCCAAUCAGGCGACACCAACAAGCUGCAAAGACCACAAGACUGAAUCAAGGUCGUCCAAUUCAAAUCAGAACAUCUCCACCCUUCAUGUCUUAUCUAUCUUAGGGUUUAUGAGUUUGCAAAGUGUAAAGAGUAUAUAUAAACUCUUAGGUGACGUUUUGUAAGCUCUUAAGAGAGUAUGGGGGUUUUCCCCAUCUCCUUCAUAAUUAUAAAAGUGUGUUCUUGAUCAGAUUCCCUUAAUCUACCCCUUUCUUAGUCCCUAAUCUCUUAAUCUCUCAAAGUCUCUUUGUUUCUUAUUCAAGUUCAUACUAGUUUCAUCAGACCUCUUAUUCAACUAGUUCAAGACCUAAAGUCUCUUUGUUUCUGAUUCAAGUUCAUACUAGUUUCAUCAGACCUCUUAUUCAACUAGUUCAAGACCUUAUCUUUGCUUUUAAUGGCUUUUCAUACACAUACACAGCCAGAGCUCUCAAAUCUCACAUGGUAUCAGAGCCAGGUUCAUCAGAACCUGGUUGAAGCUUCCGCACAUCCCACACACAUCCCUCAGCUCAAAUCCAAGCCAUGAAGAAGACAGCUCCAUCCGGUUCAGCUUCUCCAUGAAGACUGAAGCUUGGCGUGUCAUUCUGGUUCCUCAACCCUUUCUCAUACCUGCCUUGAUGAAGAGCCACGUUGGAAGCAAAGGAGGAUGGAGAGGCGUCAUGAACCUCAAGCCAAAACUCCUAGUCCAUGAGCUGCUAGCAUCCGGCUACAAGAAGAGAAGAUGUCAUGAAGAUGGCGACUUGAAGUAUGAAGAAAGGAGGGGUGUUUGAGCUGUAGAAACAAGAAGGUGGCCAUGAGUAGAAGGAGGAGAGGCUGGGUGACGAUCCAUGCUCUCAUGUCCAACAAAACCGUGAGCCAUAAGCCAUUGGAGGUUCAAGGAACCAAACCGGUUCCUUGGCUGUAAGCUAUUACUAUCCCUUCUUGAUAAUGUGUGUGUUGUUGACUGGUUAUUGUGAUGUGUAUUGAUUGAAAAACCUGAGGAUAAUGUGUGAUUGCUAAAUAUAAUUAGUUGAAUCUGUCCCAGGAUGCUUUAAAGGCUUGUUUAGUGUUUAAAGAGUAAAAUGCUUGCUCCUGUUAAGUAAUGAGUUUGCUAAAUGUGAAAUGGUAUUGUUUGAAGCUCAUGAACUGAAAACAGAUUGAAAGUAAUGCAUUGUCUGAUGAUAAGUGAUGAUAGUAAUGCUUAGCCUAAGUUAUAAAUGAAUGUGUGAUGGAUUAUAUUGUUGCAUUCAUGAAUUAAAACUGAUUAAGGUUAGUGCAUACUGUCAAAUGGCUGUCUUACAUUGAAGCAUUAGAUUCAUGUCUAAAUGCUGAGUAAAGAAGCUUUAAAAAUUGCCUAAGUAGCUUGUAUUGAAUCUGUUAUGAUCUUACUUGUGCUUAGAGAGUUUGCUUGCAAAGAUUAGAACUUGAAAAUGUCUAGUUUAAUCUGUUGCAUUGCUUAAAGACAUUGGUGUUCAAACUUGAUGAUGCAUCAAGGGUUGACCCAAUGCACUUGUGUCUUAUCUUUGCUGGAGUUUGAGUGAUGUUUCAGGUACACUAGAUGUGUUCUUAGUUCAUCAUCAAUCCGAUUUGAAAGUAGGAGACGUUUGCCCAUUGUGUGUGCAAUGGAGAGUUGAUACAAGAGUGGUGAUGCGCCACUAGGUGUGUAGUCUCACUGAAGCUCACUUGCAAGCUUGGACCUAUACUCAAUCCAAGCUUGAGGAGGGGAGUUUAGUGAGCUAUCAGUCGGACCAAGAAGGUUCAGAAGGUCCAUUGCAAGCAACUGAAGAAGAAGGAGCCAUCCGGGUCUAGGCAGUGGCGUGUCUAGGCAAGAGAGUGUUCAGAGCACUCUUGGCUGUGAGAAGAUGAAGACUCUAUCAGUGCAGCUUCUAGUGUGAGGUGGCUGAAGAGGUAGCUGAAGUUUCCACAAGCACUCCAUGAAGAUGGCGAGUUCAGAAGGUGUUGCAAUGGUGUGAUUGGGCGGAUCAAGAAGCUAUCCUUCCAAGCUUGACUUGUUCCACAUGGCCAAGCUUGAGGGGGAGUGUUGAGAAAGCUUCUAUGAUCCUAGAGUCUUUGGUGGUUAUUCAAGAAGAGGAGCAGAUCAGUUAUGAAGCAUAAUGAAGGAUGAAGAAGCAAUCACCAAUGCGGCCUCUAGAGUGAGGUGAUUGGUACUACAGUCUGAAGCAUCCUGUCAUGAAGGUUUCAGUAACAUGGUGGUGACUCAUGAAGAAGAAGCAGCCAAGACUCAGCUUGUAUCUAUCAAGGAAGAUCUGGUAGUCCGAGCACUUGAUCACAACAAGAAGGUUGUGAGAAAGGGGGAGAGACCAAGAUCUGUCUAAAGAAGAGUACAAGAAGUGUUGAUGAUGAGCAAGAGGAGUGGGUUCUAUCUUGCAUCACAUGAGGGCCAUGAUCCAGAGUCUUUGUGUCCCUUACAUUGUUGGUAAGGCACAAAGACUCACUGGCCAAUUCCCUAGGCCUUGGAGACUUUACUCUUUUUCCCUCAUCAAGGUUUUGUCCCAAAGGGUUUUCCUUGGUGAGGUUUUUAAUGAGGAAGUUCUUCAAGGUUCCAAGCUUGACUUAGGAUCAGCUAAAGUCAAGCUUGAGGGGGAGUGUUAACUUGAAGAAAGGAAUGGAGAAGCUAAAGGUGUUAAGUUGAGAUGGAGCUUGUGCAAAGAUAGGGCAAGAGCUUUAGAGAGUGCCUAUCAAGAGUGGUGAAGUGUCUUAAGAGAGCUAGAGGUAAGUCUAGGAGAGACUUAGAAGAGUAUUGAGGAGCAAAUGGACGAGUGUACAAAGAUAGGGAGAGGCUGGUACAGCCAUGUACGGCCUAGUAUGAAUCAGUACGGAUGGUGGACGUACCAAAGGUGUAUACUCGGCCAUUUGUGAGUCUUAAGGUUUGGUGCAAACUUAGGGUGCUUGUGUACGGACAUUGAGUGAUCCGUACAUAACUAAGGAUUGUGAUCAGCCUAACUUGAAUCCCAAGUAAGAAGAAUGGCGUUGGCUGAUUGUGUGAAGAAGCCAAGAGGCGCCAAAGUCUGAGUUUGAAUGUUGGGACCAGUUAUGGAUAAGGCACAGCAAGAACCAGCUGGCAUGAGCUGUCCCUUGGCUGUGUAUUGACCAAGAACCUGGACACAAGGGAGACUAGGUUCAUGGGCGCCUAAGAUGAUCCAAUCAGAGGCCAGCCCUCCCUUUGACCAGAUUCAAAUCAACCAAUCAAGCAACAUCAGCCCUCAGCCAAUCACAAGACAUCACACAGAUUGCAAUACCAAGCUUACAUCCUAGCCAUCCAUUCUCUCAAGUUAAUAUUAUCCAUUAGAUUUAGGUUUCAGAUUGUGUAAACCUAUUGAGCUUAUAAAUAAGCAUGUAAGGGGCGAUUUUGAGCCUUAAGGGAGUUUGGGGGAUUUCCCCUCUCCACUUCAUAAUAAAAGUGUGUUCUUGAUCAGUUUCCCUUAAUCUACCCCUUUCUUAGUCUCAAGUCUCUUAAUCUCUCAAAGUCUCUUUGUUUCUGAUUCAAGUUCAUACUAGUUUCAUCAGACCUCUUAUUCAACUAGUUCAAGACCUUAUCUUUGCCUUUAAUGGCUUUUCUUACACAUACACAGCCAGAGCUCUCAAAUCUCACAUGGUAUCAG
rnacentral:lncRNA from 1 species